rfam:Triticum aestivum genome assembly, contig: Triticum_aestivum_CS42_TGACv1_scaffold_514423_6BS
UAAAUACUCCGUUCGUCCGGAAAUACUUGUCAUCAAAAUGAAUAGGAGGGGAUGUAUCUAGAUGUAUAUUAGUUCUAGAUACAUCCCUUUUUAUCCAUUUUGAUGACAAAUAUUUUCGGACGGAGGGAUUAUAAC